rnacentral:rRNA from 1 species
UUAGUGGCGGACGGGUGAGUAACGCGUGGAUAACCUGCCGUAUACAGGGGGAUAACACUUAGAAAUAGGGUGCUAAUACCGCAUAAGCGCACGGUUCCGCAUGGAACAGUGUGAAAAACUCCGGUGGUAUACGAUGGAUCCGCGUCUGAUUAGCCAGUUGGCGGGGUAACGGCCCACCAAAGCGACGAUCAGUAGCCGGCCUGAGAGGGUGAACGGCCACAUUGGGACUGAGACACGGCCCAAACUCCUACGGGAGGCAGCAG